GACGAACGCUGGCGGCGUGCCUAAUACAUGCCAGUAGAACGCUGAAGGAGGAGCUUGCUUCUCCGGAUGAGUUGCGAACGGGUGAGUAACGCGUAGGUAACCUGCCUGGUAGCGGGGGAUAACUAUUGGAAACGAUAGCUAAUACCGCAUAACAGUAGAUGUUGCAUGACAUUUGCUUAAAAGGUGCAAUUGCAUCACUACCAGAUGGACCUGCGUUGUAUUAGCUAGUUGGUGAGGUAACGGCUCACCAAGGCGACGAUACAUAGCCGACCUGAGAGGGUGAUCGGCCACACUGGGACUGAGACACGGCCCAGACUCCUACGGGAGGCAGCAGUAGGGAAUCUUCGGCAAUGGACGGAAGUCUGACCGAGCAACGCCGCGUGAGUGAAGAAGGUUUUCGGAUCGUAAAGCUCUGUUGUAAGAGAAGAACGAGUGUGAGAGUGGAAAGUUCACACUGUGACGGUAUCUUACCAGAAAGGGACGGCUAACUACGUG
rnacentral:rRNA from 1 species